GACGAACGCUGGCGGCGUGCUUAACACAUGCAAGUCGAACGGUCAAUCUCUUUCCUUUUUGGUUGGUGUGUAUGAGUGGCGAACGGGUGAGUAACACGUGAGUAACGUGCCCCCUUCUUCUGGAUAACCGCAUGAAAGUGUGGCUAAUACGGUAUAUUCUGCUCUUGCUUCUUGGUGGGUGUUUGAAAGAUUGUGCCUAUUGGAGUUUUCGCUGGGGGAUGUGCUGGCGGUCUGUCAGCAUGUUGGUGGGGUGAUGGCCUACGAAGGGGUUGAUGGGUAGCCGGACUGAGAGGGUGGACGGUGAGACUGGGACUGGGACACGGCCCAGACUCGUACGGGAGGCAGGAGUGGGGAAGAUUGCGCAGUGAGCGCAAGCCUGAUGCAGCGACGCAGCGUGAGGGAUGGAGGCCUUCGGGUUGUGAGUCGCUUUCGAAAGUGAAGCAGGCCUGCGCAAUGUGGGUGGGUUGACGGUAGCUGAAUAAGAAGCGACGGCUAACUACGUG
rnacentral:rRNA from 1 species